GCCUUGGUGUUCCAGCAUUAAAAAGGGUGGGCGAUGCAUGAGUGAACCAUCGUUGAGACAUCAAAUGGUAGGUUUUGAUAACAGAAUCAAUAUCAUCCAUGUGAAUUCCAACAGCAACUCAUCAGCAUGUGCUGAGGUCUCUCUACUACCUUCCCUUGCACUUUUAAGAGAUAGGACCGUUCCAAGGUCUUGAAGCCAAAGUAAUCAUAGUCAAAGUCC
rnacentral:misc_RNA from 1 species